GUCCUAGCUGUAAACGAUGGGCACUGGGUAGAGGUGGUGUCGAUACCGUCUCUGCCGAAGCAAAUGUGUUAAGUGCCCCGCCUGGGGAGUACGGUCGCAAGGCUAAACUCAAAGGAAUUGACGGGGCUCACACAAGCGGUGGAGCAUGUGGUUCAAUUCGAAGCAACGCGAAGAACCUUACCCGGGUUUGAAAUCCACGGAUGGGUCUGAUGAAAGUCGGAUACUCUGCCCGCAAGGGUGAAACGUGGACAGGUGUUGCAUGGCUGUCGU
rnacentral:rRNA from 1 species